ensembl:lncRNA
CUAUAAAGCAACUUUUAGCCCUAAAAAUAUACGUUUUUCACACUUGGUUUCAGUAACACCAAAGAUUCCUUUUGUGACCCAAAAUUCUCCCUUCUAAACCCAAAAAAAACCGUCAAAAAACGCCAAAAAAAACCCACAUUUUUUCACCCCCCCCCCAAAUGACUUUCAAACCGCCCCAAAAAUUCAUUUUCUGCCAUAAAAAUGGGCUUUAAGACCCCCCCAAAAUGCGUUUCUUUUACCCAAAAAAUGGAUCAAAUUCGAUCAGGGUGGGGCGAAGCAGCCAAAUUUUGGGGACAAAAAAGGCAUUUUUUACCAAUCUGUGGAAAAAUUUAAGCUUUGUAAUUAAAAAAAAAAAGUCGAAAUUUCAUUUUGGGGGGUUUUGGGGCUGGGGUGGAAAUGGAGGUUUUUUGAAGCAGACCCCCCAAAAUGCCUUAAAUUGGCUUAAAAAUGCCUUAAAAACGAGCGUUUAUGAGUGGAAAUCUGUGAGAUUUUGGGGGAAGUUUCUCAGAUUUUGGGUCAGUCCGUGAGGAAAACAUGGAGGGCUCCAUUAGCAGUUAUUGGAAGAAUUCGUGUGGAGAUUUUGGGGUAAAAAUGUGAGAUUUUGGGUCAUUCCAUGAGGAAAAGAUGGAGAACUCCAUGAGGAGAUUUGGGGGGGGAUUUGUGUGGAGAUUUUGAGGUAAAAAUGUGAGAUUUUGGGUCAUUUUGUGACAGAAAAGGUGGAGGACUCCAUGAGGAGAUUUUGGAGGAAUUUGUGUGGAGAUUUUGAGGUAAAAAUGUGAGAUUUUGGGUCACUCUGUGAGGGAAGAGAUGAAGAACUCCAUGAGGAGAUUGUGGGGGGAUUUUUGUGGAGAUUUUGAGGUAAAAAUGUGAGAUUUUGGGUCAUUUUGUGACAGAAAAGGUGGAGGACUCCAUGAGGAGAUUUUGGAGGAAUUUGUGUGGAGAUUUCGAGGUAAAAAUAUGAGAUUUUGAGUCACUCUGUGAGGGAAGAGAUGAAGAACUCCAUGAGGAGAUUUUGGAGGAAUUUGUGUGGAGAUUUGGAGAUAAAAAAUGUGAGAUUUUGGGUCAUUUUGUGACAGAAAAGGUGGAGAACUCUAUGAGGAGAUUUGGGGGGGAUUUGUGUGGAGAUUUUGAGGUAAAAAUAUGAGAUUUUGGGUCACUCUGUGAGGGAAGAGCUGAAGAACUCCAUGAGGAGAUUGUGGGGGGAUUUUUGUGGAGAUUUUGAG